GCGUGCUUAACACAUGCAAGUCGAACGGAAAGGCCCUGCUUUUGUGGGGUGCUCGAGUGGCGAACGGGUGAGUAACACGUGAGUAACCUGCCCUUGACUUUGGGAUAACUUCAGGAAACUGGGGCUAAUACCGGAUAGGAGCUCCUGCUGCAUGGUGGGGGUUGGAAAGUUUCGGCGGUUGGGGAUGGACUCGCGGCUUAUCAGCUUGUUGGUGGGGUAGUGGCUUACCAAGGCUUUGACGGGUAGCCGGCCUGAGAGGGUGACCGGCCACAUUGGGACUGAGAUACGGCCCAGACUCCUACGGGAGGCAGCAGUGGGGAAUAUUGCACAAUGGGCGGAAGCCUGAUGCAGCAACGCCGCGUGCGGGAUGACGGCCUUCGGGUUGUAAACCGCUUUCGCCUGUGACGAAGCGUGAGUGACGGUAAUGGGUAAAGAAGCACCGGCUAACUACGUGCCAGCAGCCGCGGUGAUACGUAGGGUGCGAGCGUUGUCCGGAUUUAUUGGGCGUAAAGGGCUCGUAGGUGGUUGAUCGCGUCGGAAGUGUAAUCUUGGGGCUUAACCCUGAGCGUGCUUUCGAUACGGGUUGACUUGAGGAAGGUAGGGGAGAAUGGAAUUCCUGGUGGAGCGGUGGAAUGCGCAGAUAUCAGGAGGAACACCAGUGGCGAAGGCGGUUCUCUGGGCCUUUCCUGACGCUGAGGAGCGAAAGCGUGGGGAGCGAACAGGCUUAGAUACCCUGGUAGUCCACGCUGUAAACGGUGGGUACUAGGUGUGGGGUCCAUUCCACGGGUUCCGUGCCGUAGCUAACGCUUUAAGUACCCCGCCUGGGGAGUACGGCCGCAAGGCUAAAACUCAAAGGAAUUGACGGGGCCCCGCACAAGCGGCGGAGCAUGCGGAUUAAUUCGAUGCAACGCGUAGAACCUUACCUGGGUUUGACAUGGAUCGGGAGUGCUCAGAGAUGGGUGUGCCUCUUUUGGGGUCGGUUCACAGGUGGUGCAUGGCUGUCGUCAGCUCGUGUCGUGAGAUGUUGGGUUAAGUCCCGCAACGAGCGCAACCCUUGUUCACUGUUGCCAGCACGUUAUGGUGGGGACUCAGUGGAGACCGCCGGGGUCAACUCGGAGGAAGGUGGGGAUGACGUCAAGUCAUCAUGCCCCUUAUGUCCAGGGCUUCACGCAUGCUACAAUGGCUGGUACAGAGAGUGGCGAGCCUGUGAGGGUGAGCGAAUCUCGGAAAGCCGGUCUCAGUUCGGAUUGGGGUCUGCAACUCGACCUCAUGAAGUCGGAGUCGCUAGUAAUCGCAGAUCAGCAACGCUGCGGUGAAUACGUUCCCGGGGCUUGUACACACCGCCCGUCAAGUCAUGAAAGUUGGUAACACCCGAAGCCGGUGGCCUAACCGUUGUGGGGGAGCCGUCGAAGGUGGGACUGGUGAUUAGGACUAAGU
rnacentral:rRNA from 1 species